AACGUAGGUGGCAAGCGUUAUCCGGAUUUACUGGGCGUAAAGCGUGUGCAGGCGGGGGUACAAGUGGUGUAUGAAAUUUCCCAGCUUAACUGGGAAGGGUUAUGCCAGACUGUACUUCUGGAGUGCGAGAGAGGGGCGUGGAAUUCCGGGUGUAGUGGUGAAAUGCGUAGAGAUGUGGAGGAACGCCAGUGGCGAAGGCGACUCUUUGGCCUGUAACUGACGCUGAGGCGCGAAAGCGUGGGGAGCAAACAGG
rnacentral:rRNA from 1 species